GACGAACGCUGGCGGCGUGCUUAACACAUGCAAGUCGAACGAUGAAGCUAGAGCUUGCUCUGGUGGAUUAGUGGCGAACGGGUGAGUAACACGUGAGUAACCUGCCCCGAACUCUGGGAUAACUGCUGGAAACGGUAGCUAAUACUGGAUACGACCAACGAAGGCAUCUUCUGUUGGUGGAAAGAAUUUCGGUUCGGGAUGGACUCGCGGCCUAUCAGCUUGUUGGUGAGGUAACGGCUCACCAAGGCGACGACGGGUAGCCGGCCUGAGAGGGUGAGCGGCCACACGGGGACUGAGACACGGCCCAGACUCCUACGGGAGGCAGCAGUGGGGAAGAUUGAACAAUGGGCGCAAGCCUGAUGCAGCAACACCGCGUGAGGGACGACGGCCUUCGGGUUGUAAACCUCUUUUAGUAGGGAAGAAGCGAAAGUGACGGUACCUGCAGAAAAAGCACCGGCUAACUACGUGCCAGCCGCCGCGGUAA
rnacentral:rRNA from 1 species